UGUUCUUAUUGGUUGCACCUUUAUCUCUUCUUUGACUUUCUCAAAGAAAGAAGACUCAAGAAACUCUUUUGCUCCCAUUUCCCACGGAUCAAUGCAAAUCAGAAAUUUGCACCUCACUUUUCUCUCUUUUGUCUCAAGGAAAGUGCUAGGAAGCUCCCUUGAGUCCAAGGGUUCACACACCAAAAGAAAGAAAAUUCUCUCAACUCUUCUCUCCCUUUCAUUCCCACGGGUCCUAAACCCAAAAGAAAGAAAAUUCUCUCAAGCUCUCCACCUCUCAUAAUUUUGGGUCCAGCCACUAGGAAAUGGGGAAAUUCUUCCACGCAAGAGUGAUUCUAUUUCUCCUUGGAAUCAGAAAUUUGGUGUUACCAGUAUCCAAGUCUAAGCUCCUUCGACUUUAGGCUCUCGGUUCCUCUGCUUUCAGUUAGCAGGUUUUAUUUUGGAGCAGAGGGAGCCUUAGUCGAGUUUUGGAAGGAGCUGGUUUUAGUUUAUAUGUAUAGAUCCUAAAUUAGCAAAUUGAUGUUUAGCUUUGUAGUAUUGUGUAUUUUAGGAUCUAAUGAAAGUGUAUACCUUAAAGUAUUAAGAGAUGUAUUAUGUGAAAUUCCAAAUUUGAACAAUUGGUGAAUUAGGUUAUUCUUUGGAGUACAUUGUAGAUGCUCUGAAUGUCAAGUGAAAGGUUAUAUCA